UGGGGAAUCUUGCGCAAUGGGCGAAAGCCUGACGCAGCCAUGCCGCGUGAAUGAUGAAGGUCUUAGGAUUGUAAAAUUCUUUCACCGGGGAAGAUAAUGACGGUACCCGGAGAAGAAGCCCCGGCUAACUUCGUGCCAGCAGCCGCGGUAAUACGAAGGGGGCUAGCGUUGCUCGGAAUUACUGGGCGUAAAGGGCGCGUAGGCGGACAGUUAAGUCAGAGGUGAAAGCCCAGGGCUCAACCUUGGAAUUGCCUUUGAUACUGGCUGUCUUGAGUUCGGGAGAGGUGAGUGGAAUGCCGAGUGUAGAGGUGAAAUUCGUAGAUAUUCGGCGGAACACCAGUGGCGAAGGCGACUCACUGGCCCGAUACUGACGCUGAGGCGCGAAAGCGUGGGGAGCAAACAGG
rnacentral:rRNA from 1 species